ACGAACGCUGGCGGCAUGCCUAACACAUGCAAGUCGAAACGGGAUCCGGACUUCGGUUCGGUGAGAGUGGCGGACGGUGGAGUAACGGCGUGGGAACCUGCCCAAUGGUCUGGGAUAACCGCGGGAAAACUGCGGCUAAUACCGGAUAAGCCCGAGAGGGGAAAGAUUUAUCGCCGAUGGAGGGGCCCGCGUCCGAUUAGGUAGUUGGUGAGGGUAACGGCUCACCAAGCCGACGAUCGGUAGCUGGUCUGAGAGGAUGAUCAGCCACACCGGGACUGAGAUACGGCCCAGACUCCUACGGGAGGCAGCAGUGGGGAAUAUUGGACAAUGGGGGCAACCCUGAUCCAGCAAUGCCGCGUGAGUGAUGAAGGCCUUAGGGCUGUAAAGCUCUUUUGGCGGGGACGAUGAUGACGGUACCCGCAGAAUAAGCCCCGGCUAACUUCGUGCCAGCAGCCGCGGUAAUACGAAGGGGGCGAGCGUUGUUCGGAAUUACUGGGGCGUAAAGGGCGCGUAGGCGGCGACCCAAGUCAGAUGUGAAAGUCCUGGGCUUAACCUGGGGACUGCAUUUGAUACUGGGUUGCUUGAAUUCGGGAGAGGAUAGCGGAAUUCCCAGUGUAGAGGUGAAAUUCGUAGAUAUUGGGAAGAACACCGGUGGCGAAGGCGGCUAUCUGGACCGACAUUGACGCUGAGGCGCGAAAGCGUGGGGAGCAAACAGGAUUAGAUACCCUGGUAGUCACACGCCGUAAACGAUUGAAUGCUAGACCGCUGAGGAGCAUGCUCUUCGGUGUCGCAGCUAACGCAUUAAGCAUUCCGCCUGGGGAGUACGGUCGCAAGAUAAAACUCAAAGGAAAUUGACGGGGGCCCGACACAAGCGGUGGAGCAUGUGGUUUAAUUCGAAGCAACGCGCAGAACCUUACCAACCCUUGACAUGGGAAGUAUGGGCUUCAGAGAUGAGGUCCUUCAGUUCGGCUGGCUUCCACACAGGUGCCUGCAUGGCUGUCGUCAGCUCGUGUCCGUGAGAUGUUGGGUUAAGUCCCGCAACGAGCGCAGCCCUCAUCUUCAGUUGCAUCAUUUGGUUGGGCACUCUGAAGAACCUGCCGGUGACAAGCCGGAGGAAGGAGCGGGGAUGACGGUCAAGUCCUCAUGGCCCUUACGGGUUGGGCUACACACGUGCUACAAUGGCGGUGACAAUGGGGAGCAAAGGCGCGAGCCCGAGCCGAUCUCAAAAAGCCGUCUCAGUUCGGAUUGCACUCUGCAACUCGGGUGCAUGAAGUUGGAAUCGCUAGUAAUCGCGCAUCAGCACGGCGCGGUGAAUACGUUCCCGGGCCUUGUACACACCGCCCGUCAACACCAUGGGAGUUGGUUCUACCCGAAGCCGGUGCGCGAACCGCAAGGACGCAGCCGACCACGGUAGGGUCAGCGACUGGGGGU
rnacentral:rRNA from 1 species